rnacentral:rRNA from 1 species
UCUGAUCCAGCCAUGCCGCGUGCAGGAAGAAUGCCCUAUGGGUAGUAAACUGCUUUUAUACGGGAAGAAAAAGAGCUACGUGUAGCUUACUGACGGUACCGUAAGAAUAAGGACCGGCUAACUCCGUGCCAGCAGCCGCGGUAAUACGGAGGGUCCGAGCGUUAUCCGGAAUUAUUGGGUUUAAAGGGUCCGUAGGCGGGCCGAUAAGUCAGGGGUGAAAGUCUGCCGCUCAACGGUAGAACUGCCUUUGAUACUGUCGGUCUUGAGUUAUAGUGAAGUUGCCGGAAUAUGUAGUGUAGCGGUGAAAUGCAUAGAUAUUACAUAGAACACCGAUUGCGAAGGCAGGUGACUAACUAUAUACUGACGCUGAUGGACGAAAGCGUGGGGAGCGAACAGGAUUAGAUACCCUGGUAGUCCACGCCGUAAACGAUGGAUACUAGCUGUCCGGGGCCUUGAGUUCUGGGCGGCCAAGCGAAAGUGAUAAGUUCCCACCUGG